UACGUAGGGUGCAAGCGUUAAUCGGAAUUACUGGGCGUAAAGCGUGCGCAGGCAGUUUUAUAAGUCAGAUGUGAAAUCCCCGAGCUCAACUUGGGAACUGCGUUUGAAACUAUAAGACUAGAGUGUGUCAGAGGGGGGUAGAAUUCCAAGUGUAGCAGUGAAAUGCGUAGAGAUUUGGAGGAAUACCAAUGGCGAAGGCAGCCCCCUGGGAUAACACUGACGCUCAUGCACGAAAGCGUGGGGAGCAAACAGG
rnacentral:rRNA from 1 species